rnacentral:piRNA from 1 species
UGCCAAAGAGACCUCAAUUUUAGACUCAGAU